AGCCGUGUGGGGGGCACAAAGCGAACUAUUCUUUCGCCUUUUACUAAAGAAUACCGUGUGCUUGCCAUUUAAAGCGGUUUACACUUAUUUUUGGAGGGUUUCUUAUCUUGAAGCCC